rnacentral:rRNA from 1 species
ACAAGCGGUGGAGUAUGUGGUUUAAUUCGAUGCAACGCGAAGAACCCUACCUGGUCUUGACAUCCCGGAGACCCUUAGGAAACUAGGGGGUGCUUCCAUCUGGAAGAAUCUGGAGACAGGUGCUGCAUGGCUGUCGUCAGCUCGUGUCGUGAGAUGUUGGGUUAAGUCCCGCAACGAGCGCAACCCUUGCCUUUAGUUGCCAGCAGUUCGGCUGGGCACUCUAAAGGGACUGCCGGUGUUAAACCGGAGGAAGGUGGGGAUGACGUCAAGUCCUCAUGGCCUUUAUGACCAGGGCUACACAUGUACUACAAUGGCCGAUACAAAGGGCAGCGACACUGCGAGGUGAAGCCAAUCCCGUAAAAUCGGUCUCAGUCCGGAUUGGAGUCUGCAACUCGACUCCAUGAAGUUGGAAUCGCUAGUAAUCGUGGAUCAGCAUGCCACGGUGAAUACGUUCCCGGGCCUU